CUUUCACGUUGAUUGUUGUCAUAAUGCACUUUACACCGUGCACAUCUGCUGGUGUCAUUACCCUGAUGGAAAUCUUGCACUUUAACUCAUCAGCAUAGCAGAAGUCUCUUCAUGAUCUCAGCUUUGACUACCCUCUUCAGCUUUAUCUUCAAUUACCGUUCCAGAUUUACACUGUGUUUUAGCCACAAAAAAAUAACUUGAAUUUCUUUGAAUAUUUUCAUUCAUCUUAGUCUUAAGUGUUCAUCGUCUUUCUUUUCUUGGCUGAAGAUUCAACUCCCCCAUGAAGCCUCUCCUGGUAACCAUUUGCCCUCCCUGUAUUUCACAAAGCUCCUCUGUGCUCUCUGAGUGCCUCCAGAGCACUUGCCACAUUUCAUUAAAACUGUUUACUUAGCUGUUUCACUCCUUCAUCAAAUGGAACUCCGAGGAGACUGAAUUUUCUUUGUUAAUUUUUCCUGCCUAUGGUUGUAUGGAAACUGUGUUCCUUGCUGAAACAGACAGGACUUCAAUUUCAGACAAUGUGGAAGCACCUGAACUUGGGGUGAAAAGCUAUGCAACUACAGAAGAAAUAAAUAAAAUACCGGACAAUGCAACAUUUUGAAUAAAUAGAUGAGCCCACAGGAAGGGAAGCAGUGUCUCUAAGGUUCAAAACGGGAACAGAAGCACAGAAAUGAACAGGAGAGUUAAGGUGAAGAUGAGAUGGAGUGGUGCUUCUUAAUCUCUACAACAUUAAGGCCAAGAUUUCAACACCUGGAGAGAGUAAACGAGGCAUUGGCCUUGUCAGUCCUGGCUUCCCGGAAUACAUCGGUGUUUGCAAAGCUAAUCUGAGUGCGGUGUGUAAACUUUCACCACUGAAAGUCUGCGUUACUCAUGAAAACAAAAGGUUGGCUUGGUUUUCAUGUGAUCCCUACAUGCUUAUACCCUUGCCAUAUAAAGACCACUCCUCAGUGGAUCUUGUAGAAGCAGUGUGAAAACCACGUCUAGCUGAACCUGCAGGAGCACCAAUGUUUUGUGAAUUCCGUUAAGACUCAGGAGAAUGGACAGACAAAACCACAAAACAACAAACAACCGAAUGAAGAAAAUUCCUAUGGGAACCCAGGCUUAAUUUCAA
rnacentral:lncRNA from 1 species